rnacentral:rRNA from 1 species
UACGUAGGGUGCGAGCGUUGUCCGGAAUUAUUGGGCGUAAAGAGCUCGUAGGCGGUGUGUCACGUCGUUCGUGAAAACCUGCAGCUUAACUGUGGGCGUGCGGUCGAUACGGGCAUCACUGGAGUUCGGCAGGGGAGACUGGAAUUCCUGGUGUAGCGGUGGAAUGCGCAGAUAUCAGGAGGAACACCGAUGGCGAAGGCAGAUCUCUGGGCCGUAACUGACGCUGAGGAGCGAAAGCGUGGGGAGCGAACAGG